rnacentral:rRNA from 1 species
UUUAAAUUUAGAGUUUGAUCCUGGCUCAGGACGAACGCUGGCGGCGUGCUUAACACAUGCAAGUCGAGCGAUGAAGCUUCCUUCGGGGAGUGGAUUAGCGGCGGACGGGUGAGUAACACGUGGGUAACCUGCCUCAAAGUGGGGGAUAGCCUUCCGAAAGGAAGAUUAAUACCGCAUAAUAUAAGAGAAUCGCAUGAUUUUCUUAUCAAAGAUUUAUUGCUUUGAGAUGGACCCGCGGCGCAUUAGCUAGUUGGUAAGGUAACGGCUUACCAAGGCAACGAUGCGUAGCCGACCUGAGAGGGUGAUCGGCC